rnacentral:rRNA from 1 species
CCUACGGGUGGCAGCAGUGGGGAAUAUUGCACAAUGGGGGAAACCCUGAUGCAGCGACGCCGCGUGAAGGAAGAAGGACUUCGGGAUGUAAACUUCUAUCAGCAGGGAAGAAAAUGACGGUACCUGACUAAGAAGCCACGGCUAACUACGUGCCAGCAGCCGCGGUAAUACGUAGGGGGCAAGCGUUAUGCGGAUUGACUGGGUGUAAAGGGAGCGUAGGCGGUUCAGCAAGUCAGAAGUGAAAGCCCGGGGCUCAACUACGGGACUGCUUUUGAAACUGUUGAACUAGAUUGCAGGAGAGGUAUGUGGAAUUCCUGGUGUAGCGGUGAAAUGCGUAGAUAUUAGGAGGAACACCGAUGGCGAAGGCGGCUUACUGGACUGUAAAUGACGCUGAGGCUCGAAAGCGUGGGGAGCAAACAGGAUUAGAUACCCUUGUAGUC